UGUGUAGAGGCGAGAAAUAUGCU
rnacentral:miRNA from 1 species